rnacentral:lncRNA from 1 species
GUUUAAUCUGAAACAAAAAGCAUGAAAAUCGGUUAAGUAGGAGUCGCAGGCGGAUUGCCAGAAGAAAACAGCCUUGUAUUGCUUCUGGCAAUAUAUAGAUAGUUUAUUAAGAUUAUUUCAUUUCCUACAUUAAGAAAAAGCUUAGAAAAUAUACAUAUAAUAUUAAGAUGUGAGUAAUUUUCGCUCUUGUCCCCUCGACAGCAGGUCGAAUAUAUAUAUGUGUACAGUCUUUAGUUCAAUGGAUCAGUCUUUAGUCCAACACCACACUUUCGCUGUUUCUUCUAUCGACGACUUAUUGGUCGAAAACCGAUUGCCCAGUUGGGGGAUUCAAUACGGUUUGCCUGUCACUGAUUUAACGUAAUUUUUCCUCUAGAGGAUGGGACUUGACGGGUCACGUCUCGUCCUUCGCGUCGGUGAUCUUGCGGCCGACCUUUCGAUGUCUGGGGAGCGGUCUUUUGCAGGUUUUGGUUCAACUUCUCUCGAAAGCUUUGGUGCGACUGUCCUAGAAGAACUAUAUCGACUGCUAACGCUCAAGUUAGUGGCCUACGACGACGAAUUAUAUGUCCUUCGUUGUCGAAUUCUAGUAACCAACUGACUUUUUUCUCUCGGAGAAAGACGAUCCUCUCACGUUCUUUACUGUUUUUCCUGCACCCAAUUCUUCCCCUGUCAAAACUGACGUGUGUUUUUCUUCAUGAAUUUAUGGAGGACGGAGAACCUCGACUCGUGAGAAUAGCUAAUUAGCGAUCAUUUUUCAAUCAUAGGUUAAUUUAGCAAGUAACAAUAAUUUGUUAUUUAUUUACAUAAAUUCCGAACUCCAUGUUCUCAUAUUCUUCUUUGUUUUAUGAUACUUCAACAUUUCUCUUAUAUACGUUCAAUUUUUCUUUUAACAUCAAAGUAUAUUUACUCGUACAUUUAAUUUAUAUAACUGAC